rnacentral:lncRNA from 1 species
GUGGAUUGUAGGGAAGGGAAGCAUGAAUUUCCGACUUCACAGAGGAAAAGGGCUUGUUUCACAUGCAUUCUUCAGAAGCUGCUGGAACAUUCUUCCUGGGGAGCUGACUCUUGCAGCAGGAGCAGGGGGAAUGGAUUGUCUGGCACACAUAAGAUUCCUCCAGAACACCCAGGGGAGGACACCAGGACUGCGUGAGAUUGGUAAAUAUCAGUCAUAGACGAUGUGUUGCCAUUUUGGGGGCCUCAUCUUCUCCCACUCCCCCAGACUCACUGAGAAAGGAGGAGGUGUUGGCUUCCUUUCCACGUUCCUUUCCUUUGAAGACCAAAGGCAGUCUCUACC